GGCCCUUCGGGGUACUCGAGUGGCGAACGGGUGAGUAACACGUGGGUGAUCUGCCCUGCACUCUGGGAUAAGCCUGGGAAACUGGGUCUAAUACCGGAUAGGACCACACACUUCAUGGUGAGUGGUGCAAAGCUUUUGCGGUGUGGGAUGAGCCCGCGGCCUAUCAGCUUGUUGGUGGGGUAAUGGCCCACCAAGGCGACGACGGGUAGCCGGCCUGAGAGGGUGACCGGCCACACUGGGACUGAGAUACGGCCCAGACUCCUACGGGAGGCAGCAGUGGGGAAUAUUGCACAAUGGGCGCAAGCCUGAUGCAGCGACGCCGCGUGAGGGAUGACGGCCUUCGGGUUGUAAACCUCUUUCAGUAGGGACGAAGCGAAAGUGACGGUACCUACAGAAGAAGGACCGGCCAACUACGUGCCAGCAGCCGCGGUAAUACGUAGGGUCCGAGCGUUGUCCGGAAUUACUGGGCGUAAAGAGCUCGUAGGUGGUUUGUCACGUUGUUCGUGAAAACCCACAGCUUAACUGUGGGCGUGCGGGCGAUACGGGCAGACUAGAGUACUGCAGGGGAGACUGGAAUUCCUGGUGUAGCGGUGGAAUGCGCAGAUAUCAGGAGGAACACCGGUGGCGAAGGCGGGUCUCUGGGCAGUAACUGACGCUGAGGAGCGAAAGCGUGGGUAGCGAACAGGAUUAGAUACCCUGGUAGUCCACGCCGUAAACGGUGGGUACUAGGUGUGGGUUUCCUUCCUUGGGAUCCGUGCCGUAGCUAACGCAUUAAGUACCCCGCCUGGGGAGUACGGUCGCAAGACUAAAACUCAAAGGAAUUGACGGGGGCCCGCACAAGCGGCGGAGCAUGUGGAUUAAUUCGAUGCAACGCGAAGAACCUUACCUGGGUUUGACAUGCACAGGACGUACCUAGAGAUAGGUAUUCCCUUGUGGCCUGUGUGCAGGUGGUGCAUGGCUGUCGUCAGCUCGUGUCGUGAGAUGUUGGGUUAAGUCCCGCAACGAGCGCAACCCUUGUCCUAUGUUGCCAGCGGGUAAUGCCGGGGACUCGUAGGAGACUGCCGGGGUCAACUCGGAGGAAGGUGGGGAUGACGUCAAGUCAUCAUGCCCCUUAUGUCCAGGGCUUCACACAUGCUACAAUGGCCAGUACAGAGGGCUGCGAAGCCGCAAGGUGGAGCGAAUCCCUUAAAGCUGGUCUCAGUUCGGAUUGGGGUCUGCAACUCGACCCCAUGAAGUCGGAGUCGCUAGUAAUCGCAGAUCAGCAACGCUGCGGUGAAUACGUUCCCGGGCCUUGUACACACCGCCCGUCACGUCAUGAAAGUCGGUAACACCCGAAGCCAGUGGCCUAACCUUUUGGAGGGAGCUGUCGAAGGUGGGAUCGGCG
rnacentral:rRNA from 1 species